GACGAACGCUGGCGGCGUGCCUAAUACAUGCAAGUCGAGCGGACUUGAUGGAGUGCUUGCACUCCUGAUGGUUAGCGGCGGACGGGUGAGUAACACGUAGGUAACCUGCCCAUAAGACUGGGAUAACCCACGGAAACGUGAGCUAAUACCAGAUAGGCAUUUUCCUCGCAUGAGGGAAAUGAGAAAGGCGGAGCAAUCUGUCACUUAUGGAUGGACCUGCGGCGCAUUAGCUAGUUGGUGAGGUAACGGCUCACCAAGGCGACGAUGCGUAGCCGACCUGAGAGGGUGAUCGGCCACACUGGGACUGAGACACGGCCCAGACUCCUACGGGAGGCAGCAGUAGGGAAUCUUCCGCAAUGGACGAAAGUCUGACGGAGCAACGCCGCGUGAGUGAUGAAGGUUUUCGGAUCGUAAAGCUCUGUUGCCAGGGAAGAACGCCUAGGAGAGUAACUGCUCYUAGGGUGACGGUACCUGAGAAGAAAGCCCCGGCUAACUACGUGCCAGCAGCCGCGGUAAUACGUAGGGGGCGAGCGUUGUCCGGAAUUAUUGGGCGUAAAGCGCGCGCAGGCGGCAAUGUAAGUUGGGUGUUUAAACCUAGGGCUCAACCUUGGGUCGCAUCCAAAACUGCAUAGCUUGAGUACAGAAGAGGAAAGUGGAAUUCCACGUGUAGCGGUGAAAUGCGUAGAGAUGUGGAGGAACACCAGUGGCGAAGGCGACUUUCUGGGCUGUAACUGACGCUGAGGCGC
rnacentral:rRNA from 1 species